GACGAACGCUGGCGGCGUGCUUAACACAUGCAAGUCGAGCGGAAAGGCCCUUCGGGGUACUCGAGCGGCGAACGGGUGAGUAACACGUGAGUAACCUGCCCCUGACUCUGGGAUAAGCCUGGGAAACCGGGUCUAAUACCGGAUACGACACAUGGCCGCAUGGUCUGUGUGUGGAAAGUUUUUUCGGUCGGGGAUGGGCUCGCGGCCUAUCAGCUUGUUGGUGGGGUGAUGGCCUACCAAGGCGACGACGGGUAGCCGGCCUGAGAGGGCGACCGGCCACACUGGGACUGAGACACGGCCCAGACUCCUACGGGAGGCAGCAGUGGGGAAUAUUGCGCAAUGGGCGGAAGCCUGACGCAGCGACGCCGCGUGGGGGAUGACGGCCUUCGGGUUGUAAACCUCUUUCAGCAGGGACGAAGUUGACGUGUACCUGUAGAAGAAGCGCCGGCUAACUACGUGCCAGCAGCCGCGGUAAUACGUAGGGCGCGAGCGUUGUCCGGAAUUAUUGGGCGUAAAGAGCUCGUAGGUGGCUUGUCGCGUCUGCCGUGAAAGCCCGUGGCUUAACUACGGGUCUGCGGUGGAUACGGGCAGGCUAGAGGCUGGUAGGGGCAAGUGGAAUUCCUGGUGUAGCGGUGAAAUGCGCAGAUAUCAGGAGGAACACCGGUGGCGAAGGCGGCUUGCUGGGCCAGUUCUGACGCUGAGGAGCGAAAGCGUGGGGAGCGAACAGGAUUAGAUACCCUGGUAGUCCACGCUGUAAACGUUGGGCGCUAGGUGUGGGGGUCUUCCACGAUUCCUGUGCCGUAGCUAACGCAUUAAGCGCCCCGCCUGGGGAGUACGGCCGCAAGGCUAA
rnacentral:rRNA from 1 species